GCAAAACUGAAGGGCAAAACUAUCCUGGAUUUGUCAUUCCUGACAGAGCUCUUGAAAGAAAAGUUUCCCUGCAUGUGUUAUUCUUGCAGCGGGACUGUCUGUCUGCGUGAGGUUUCCCCCUGAAGUAGUCCACAUACCUUCGCGAGAAAGCAGAGCAAAAAGGCAGCAACGACUGAGCCCCGUCUCAAAAUCAUGCCUCCGG